rnacentral:rRNA from 1 species
GAGUUUGAUCAUGGCUCAGGAUGAACGCUGGCGGCGUGCCUAAUACAUGCAAGUCGAGCGAACGGACGAGAAGCUUGCUUCUCUGAUGUUAGCGGCGGACGGGUGAGUAACACGUGGAUAACCUACCUAUAAGACUGGGAUAACUUCGGGAAACCGGAGCUAAUACCGGAUAAUAUUUUGAACCGCAUGGUUCAAAAGUGAAAGACGGUCUUGCUGUCACUUAUAGAUGGAUCCGCGCUGCAUUAGCUAGUUGGUAAGGUAACGGCUUACCAAGGCAACGAUGCAUAGCCGACCUGAGAGGGUGAUCGGCCACACUGGAACUGAGACACGGUCCAGACUCCUACGGGAGGCAGCAGUAGGGAACCUUCCGCAAUGGGCGAAAGCCUGACGGAGCAACGCCGCGUGAGUGAUGAAGGUCUUCGGAUCGUAAAACUCUGUUAUUAGGGAAGAACAUAUGUGUAAGUAACUGUGCACAUCUUGACGGUACCUAAUCAGAAAGCCACGGCUAACUACGUCG